AGUGAACGCUGGCGGUAGGCCUAACACAUGCAAGUCGGACGGCAGCACAGGAGAGCUUGCUCUCUGGGUGGCGAGUGGCGGACGGGUGAGGAAUACAUCGGAAUCUACUUUUUCGUGGGGGAUAACGUAGGGAAACUUACGCUAAUACCGCAUACGACCUACGGGUGAAAGCAGGGGAUCUUCGGACCUUGCGCGAUUGAAUGAGCCGAUGUCGGAUUAGCUAGUUGGCGGGGUAAAGGCCCACCAAGGCGACGAUCCGUAGCUGGUCUGAGAGGAUGCUCAGCCACACUGGAACUGGGACACGGUGCAGACUCCUACGGGAGGCAGCAGUGGGGAAUAUUGGACAAUGGGCGCAAGCCUGAUCCAGCCAUACCGCGUGGGUGAAGAAGGCCUUCGGGUUGUAAAGCCCUUUUGUUGGGAAAGAAAUCCAGCUGGUUAAUACCCGGUUGGGAUGACGGUACCCAAAGAAUAAGCACCGGCUAACUUCAUGCCAGCCGCCGCGGUAA
rnacentral:rRNA from 1 species